rnacentral:rRNA from 1 species
AACGAACGCUGGCGGCAUGCCUAACACAUGCAAGUCGAACGAGACCUUCGGGUCUAGUGGCGCACGGGUGCGUAACGCGUGGGAAUCUGCCCUUUGCUUCGGAAUAACAGUUAGAAAUGACUGCUAAUACCGGAUGAUGUCUUCGGACCAAAGAUUUAUCGGCAAAGGAUGAGCCCGCGUAGGAUUUAGGGUAGUUGGGUGGGGUAAAAGGCCUACCAAGCCGACGAUCCUUAGCUGGUCUGAGAGGAUGAUCAGCCACACUGGGACUGAGACACGGCCCAGACUCCUACGGGAGGCAGCAGUGGGGAAUAUUGGACAAUGGGCGCAAGCCUGAUCCAGCAAUGCCGCGUGAGUGAUGAUGGCCUCGGGUCGUUAAGGACUCUUUUACCUACGGGAAGUGAUAAUGACAGUACCUGGAG